rnacentral:rRNA from 1 species
CCUACGGGUGGCAGCAGUGAGGAAUAUUGGUCAAUGGACGAGAGUCUGAACCAGCCACGUAGCGUGAAGGAUGACUGCCCUAUGGGUUGUAAACUUCUUUUAUAUGGGAGUAAAAUGUUCCACGUGUGGGAUUUUGUAUGUCCCAUAUGAAUAAGGAUCGGCUAACUCCGUGCCAGCAGCCGCGGUAAUACGGAGGAUCCGAGCGUUAUCCGGAUUUAUUGGGUUUAAAGGGAGCGUAGGUGGAUUGUUAAGUCAGUUGUGAAAGUUUGCGGCUCAACCGUAAAAUUGCAGUUGAAACUGGCAGUCUUGAGUACAGUAGAGGUAGGCGGAAUUCGUGGUGUAGCGGUGAAAUGCUUAGAGAUCACGAAGAACUCCGAUUGCGAAGGCAGUUCACUGGACUGCAACUGACACUGAGGCUCGAAAGUGUGGGUAUCAAACAGGAUUAGAUACCCUUGUAGUC